rnacentral:rRNA from 1 species
ACGAACGCUGGCGGCGUGCUUAACACAUGCAAGUCGAACGGAAAGGCCCUGCUUUUGUGGGGUGCUCGAGCGGCGAACGGGUGAGUAACACGUGAGUAACCUGCCCUUGACUUUGGGAUAACUUCAGGAAACUGGGGCUAAUACCGGAUAGGAGCUCCUGCUGCAUGGUGGGGGUUGGAAAGUUUCGGCGGUUGGGGAUGGACUCGCGGCUUAUCAGCUUGUUGGUGGGGUAGUGGCUUACCAAGGCUUUGACGGGUAGCCGGCCUGAGAGGGUGACCGGCCACAUUGGGACUGAGAUACGGCCCAGACUCCUACGGGAGGCAGCAGUGGGGAAUAUUGCACAAUGGGCGGAAGCCUGAUGCAGCAACGCCGCGUGCGGGAUGACGGCCUUCGGGUUGUAAACCGCUUUCGCCUGUGAUGAAGCGUGAGUGACGGUAAUGGGUAAAGAAGCACCGGCUAACUACGUG